rnacentral:rRNA from 1 species
AGAGUUUGAUCCUGGCUCAGGAUGAACGCUAGCUACAGGCUUAACACAUGCAAGUCGAGGGGCAUCAGGAAGAAAGCUUGCUUUCUUUGCUGGCGACCGGCGCACGGGUGAGUAACACGUAUCCAACCUGCCCUUUACUCGGGGAUAGCCUUUCGAAAGAAAGAUUAAUACCCGAUGGCAUAAUGAUUCCGCAUGGUUUCAUUAUUAAAGGAUUCCGGUAAAGGAUGGGGAUGCGUUCCAUUAGGUUGUUGGUGAGGUAACGGCUCACCAAGCCUUCGAUGGAUAGGGGUUCUGAGAGGAAGGUCCCCCACAUUGGAACUGAGACACGGUCCAAACUCCUACGGGAGGCAGCAGUGAGGAAUAUUGGUCAAUGGACGAGAGUCUGAACCAGCCAAGUAGCGUGAAGGAUGACUGCCCUAUGGGUUGUAAACUUCUUUUAUAUGGGAAUAAAGUGGUCCACGUGUGCAUUUUUGUAUGUACCAUAUGAAUAAGGAUCGGCUAACUCCGUGCCAGCAGCCGCGGUAAUACGGAGGAUCCGAGCGUUAUCCGGAUUUAUUGGGUUUAAAGGGAGCGUAGGUGGACUGGUAAGUCAGUUGUGAAAGUUUGCGGCUCAACCGUAAAAUUGCAGUUGAUACUGUCAGUCUUGAGUACAGUAGAGGUGGGCGGAAUUCGUGGUGUAGCGGUGAAAUGCUUAGAUAUCACGAAGAACUCCGAUUGCGAAGGCAGCUCACUGGACUGCAACUGACACUGAUGCUCGAAAGUGUGGGUAUCAAACAGGAUUAGAUACCCUGGUAGUCCACACAGUAAACGAUGAAUACUCGCUGUUUGCGAUAUACAGUAAGCGGCCAAGCGAAAGCAUUAAGUAUUCCACCUGGGGAGUACGCCGGCAACGGUGAAACUCAAAGGAAUUGACGGGGGCCCGCACAAGCGGAGGAACAUGUGGUUUAAUUCGAUGAUACGCGAGGAACCUUACCCGGGCUUAAAUUGCAGUGGAAUGAUGUGGAAACAUGUCAGUGAGCAAUCACCGCUGUGAAGGUGCUGCAUGGUUGUCGUCAGCUCGUGCCGUGAGGUGUCGGCUUAAGUGCCAUAACGAGCGCAACCCUUAUCUUUAGUUACUAACAGGUUAUGCUGAGGACUCUAGAGAGACUGCCGUCGUAAGAUGUGAGGAAGGUGGGGAUGACGUCAAAUCAGCACGGCCCUUACGUCCGGGGCUACACACGUGUUACAAUGGGGGGUACAGAAGGCAGCUAGCGGGUGACCGUAUGCUAAUCCCAAAAGCCUCUCUCAGUUCGGAUCGAAGUCUGCAACCCGACUUCGUGAAGCUGGAUUCGCUAGUAAUCGCGCAUCAGCCACGGCGCGGUGAAUACGUUCCCGGGCCUUGUACACACCGCCCGUCAAGCCAUGAAAGCCGGGGGUACCUGAAGUACGUAACCGCAAGGAGCGUCCUAGGGUAAAACUGGUAAUUGGGGCUAAGUCGUAACAAGGUAGCCGUACCGGAAGGUGCGGCUG